AAAAGACUCAUCGGCUUUUUUCCAAUCGUCUGUUGUCCAGUUUUGGCGAACCUGUUUGAAUUGUAGCCACUCCUAGGUUAUUUGGCUGGUGCAAGGAAAGAGAGCUGUGGCAGUUGUGUGUGUACAGAUGAGGCAAAGAGAAGAAAGUCACUCAGGCGGUGAGCUUCACUCAUUUCUGGGAUAUACAACAGAAAGGCAACACAGAGGUGCAGAUACUGUGAAGGUGUCAGAAGGUACCAUGGUCACAAGAAGCUUCAGUACUGCGGGAUGCAGAGCUCUCACAGUGUGUGUAGCGCUUUUCCACUUCAAACUUCCUCUCAUUUUCUGUGGUCACUUCCUGGGUGUCCACAGUCAAGAUGUUUUUCAGUAUUUCUCUGAAAAAGAGAAGGUGGGAAGAGGAUUGUCUAAAGAGUUUUAAAGUUUUUUCCCUGGACGUCACUGAUUGUAAAU
ensembl:lncRNA